UGAUUUCAUCAUUACUAUUAAGAAGGUAUGGGUCUUAUACUGAUCUGGCAUUGCAAGGUCUCAGGAUCAGUAUUGGCUUCCCUUGCCUCCAGCUGAGUUAGCUUGUUUGCAAUUGGCAAGUGGCUGGGUGACUAGUGCCUCACCUCUUUCAGCAGCAGGUCUCCACCUCCAAGAAAAAUUUUAGGAUGCUGAUACCUUUGCUACAACCUUCCACUAUUUCUCUGUGUGAGGAAAACUGGUGUUAUCAACCUCAGGACCCAGAGACACAAUGGAGAGAUGAAUCCCCUCAGAAUGGCUUCUGACUAAUUUAUUUUCAUCUUGGUCUCUCACACUUUCUCUGGCAAAAAAGGAAAUGUAGCUAUUGUCCAAAAAAUAUACCUAUUCAUUUAUAAUGAUGCCAGAAAUAAACCUGAGUAAAUAAUUCA
rnacentral:lncRNA from 1 species